rnacentral:misc_RNA from 1 species
AAGCGGAGGGUCGCGGCAGAGCAGGGGAAGCCAGGUAGGCCGUUGGGCCACAGUCCCGAUGGUGGUGGUGGUGGUGACAAAUGCGAAAUGAAAAAAGAAGAUGAAGUAUAGCAGGCAAGCCAGCAAACAAGCAACAAUCGGAGGCAGUCGACAGGGUAGACAUUCGAGUGUACAGACACAGAAAACUGGAUUCGGUUGUAGAAGAUGAUGAGAAUUCGUCGGGGUGGUUGAGAGCGCGCACACAUAUAUAACCAGCACACAUGUACGCCAGCUGUAGCCUCGUUUUCCUGCGACAGUGUGUAUCUGUGUGGUGACGUUCGUCGUUUGUUUCUUUCCAACCCCAAACCAUGCGAUAGCGAGCACAGGCCAUCGCAGUCACACUUGGGGCUCGAUUGCGUUGCUUGUACUGCCAUUCCACUCGCACCCGCGAUUUUCAGUAUAGAGAAAAGUUAUCGCUGUGUUGCAUGGGUGUGAGAGAAAACUGGUUUCGCAUGCCCCAGCUGCCCGCGUCGCGCCGCCGGCCCCGCAUUCAACCACACCAACACCAACACAUGCGCACUUCAUUUUGUUUCGCAGCGCUGCCGCUGCCACUGCCGCUGCUGCUGCUGCUGCUACCGUGUGUUCCCGCUAUCGUCUGCGCGCGUCUCAGUCCUAAAAUCCACUUGGCAGAGUUCGGUAUUCGGUAUUCGGUCUGUGCCUCGACUCCGCGCGCAAUCACGGGAAUACGAGUACGCUGUUGCUGUAUGCCGUUCCAUUUAUAAUAACGAUACUUUUUUAAAUUUUUUAUAAUGCAACGCAGAACUAGUGUGUGGCUAAGAAGAAGUGAAUGCUAAGGCAACAAAACAAAAGAAAACCCAUGAUGUCGCGAAACAAAUGUGUGUGCAGGCGACGCGUCGCUGCCGACGUAUACAGACAGCGGGAAAGUGUAUUGUGAGAGUGUAGCCGUGGAAUAAAAACAACAAUCUCAUUAAUGCUGAGCGGCGUCUAGGGUUGUCGCCGUUAUAUUUUUUAUAGCGGACACGCAAACAGCAUCUUCCUCACAGUCAAGAGGAGCCACUACGCUACCCCUCAAGGACACAUCGAACAUCAGCGAGAAGCCGC